rfam:Danio rerio chromosome 4, GRCz11 reference primary assembly.
GCAUUGGUGGUUCAGUGGUAGAAUUCUCGCCUGCCACGCGGGAGACCUGGGUCCGAUUCCCGGCCAAUGCA